GAUCAUGGCUCAGGAUGAACGCUGGCGGCGUGCUUAACACAUGCAAGUCGAGCGAUGAAGUUUCCUUCGGGAAACGGAUUAGCGGCGGACGGGUGAGUAACACGUGGGUAACCUGCCUCAUAGAGUGGAAUAGCCUUUCGAAAGGAAGAUUAAUACCGCAUAAUGUUGAAAGAUGGCAUCAUCAUUCAACCAAAGGAGCAAUCCGCUAUGAGAUGGACCCGCGGCGCAUUAG
rnacentral:rRNA from 1 species